GUGUCAGCAGCCGCGGUAAGACAGAGGGUGCAAACGUUGUUCGGAAUUACUGGGCGUAAAGCGUGUGUAGGCGGUCACGUAAGUCGGAUGUGAAAGCCCUGGGCUCAACCCAGGAAGUGCACUCGAUACUGCGUGGCUUGAGUACUGGAGAGGUUGGUGGAAUUCUCGGUGUAGAGGUGAAAUUCGUAGAUAUCGAGAGGAACACCGGUGGCGAAGGCGGCCAACUGGACAGAUACUGACGCUGAAACACGAAAGCGUGGGGAGCAAACAGGAUUAGAUACCCCCGUAGUCC
rnacentral:rRNA from 1 species